GGCCCUUUAGCUCAGAUGGAUAGAGCAGUCGACUCAUAAUCGAUUGGUCACUGGUUCAAAUCCAGUAAGGGCCA
rnacentral:tRNA from 1 species